rnacentral:rRNA from 1 species
GACGAACGCUGGCGGCGUGCCUAAUACAUGCAAGUAGAACGAGUUGCGAACGGGUGAGUAAUGUCUGGGAAACUGCCUGAAGGAGGGGGAUAACUACUGGAAACGGAAGCUAAUACCGCAUACCAUCAGAUGUGCCCAGUGGGGAUUAGAUAGUAGGUGGGGUAACGGCGCACCUAGGCGACGAUCCCUAGCUGGUCUGAGAGGAUGACCAGCCACACUGGAACUGUGACACGGUCCAGACUCCUACGGGAGGCAGCAGUGGGGAAUAUUGCACAAUGGGCGCAAGCCUGAUGCAGCCAUGCCGCGUGUAUGAAGAAGGCCUUCGGGUUGUAAAGUACUUUCAGCGGGGAGGCGUUACCCGCAGAAGAAGCACCGGCUAACUCCGUGCCAGCAGCCGCGGUAAUUC